AUCUACAGCCAUACCACUUGAAACACACCUAAUCCCAUCUGGUCUUAGAAGUUAAGCAGGGUCGGACCUGGUUAGUACUCAAAUGGGAAAACAGAUAAAUAAACAAACAAACACCUCUCCAUGCCCUGUAGGUU
rnacentral:rRNA from 1 species